rnacentral:rRNA from 1 species
GGGCUUUGUUUGCGCAGGAUAGGUGGGAGGCGUUGAUAAUCUUUUUGCGGAAAGGUUGGAGCCAUUGGUGAGAUACCACUCUAACAAUGCUAGGAUUCUAACCCUAUAUCGUUAUCCGGUUAGGGAACAGUUUCAGGUGGUCAGUUUGACUGGGGCGGUCGCCUCCUAAAAGGUAACGGAGGCGUGCAAAGGUUUCCUCAGGCUGGUCGGAAAUCAGUCGUAGAGUGUAAAGGCAUAAGGGAGCUUGAUUGUGAGACCUACAAGUCGAACAAAGACGAAAGUCGGCGUUAGUGAUCCGGCGGUACCGAGUGGAAGGGCCGUCGCUCAACGGAUAAAAGUUACUCUAGGGAUAACA